GACAAACGCUGGCGGGGUGCGUGAGACAUGCAAGUCGAACGGGGUUUCAUCGGGCUUGCUCGUUGAAACCUAGUGGCGGACGGCUGAGUAACGCGUAGGUGACCUGCCCGGAAGUGGGGAAUAACUGCCCGAAAGGGUGGCUAAUACCGCAUGUGGUCGGCGAUUCGCUUCGUCGCCUAAAGCCGCAAGGCGCUUCCGGAGGGGCCUGCGUCCGAUUAGCUAGUUGGUGAGGUAACGGCUCACCAAGGCGACGACGGGUAGCCGGCCUGAGAGGGCGACCGGCCACACUGGGACUGAGACACGGCCCAGACUCCUACGGGAGGCAGCAGUGGGGAAUAUUGCACAAUGGGCGAAAGCCUGAUGCAGCGACGCCGCGUGAGGGAUGACGGCCU
rnacentral:rRNA from 1 species